GUUUAUAUUCAUUUACAAGUAUAGCGAACCAGAAAAGUGUUAGAUAUUCAGUUAGUAUAUCAUAUUUUACAAAUUUAUAUCAUAUUUUACACAUAUAGCAGUUCAAAAUGUAAACAAAGUUCGCGCAUGUGCACAGGAGUGGACAUCAUCUUUAAGAAUCACACUCAAACGCUGGAAGUUGUAUGAAAGAUAAGUGGAUAAUUAUCCUACAAGUCUUAUCUGAUGGAUAUAUAUCUUCCUUUCAACAUUUCAUGAACAAACAGCGACUGUAUGUUGUGUUUAUAUCUG